AGGCAGGAGGCAGAGCACACCCAACUGGAGGGUGGAUAAAGGUCGCAAGCCUAUUUGCCCACACCUGGCAACAAUCUGCAGCAUUUGAAUGCCACACAGUAAGAUUGGAGCAGCUCCCAGCAAGGACAGUUCGCUCAUUGAGCAAGAAAGGGUAAAGCAUCUGCGGCGUCUCCAGGGCUGCAGGGACAGGAGCGUUCAAGGUGGAUUCUUAACCACUGCACCACCAGGGAAGUCCUGUCCUCAAAACAUUUCUAACAUGGGUGAAGAAGUAGAGUCUGACCCAACACACUUCUCUUUCACUAUGCCCCAUGUAAAUCGCAGGCAAAUGGCGCAUCUCGUGGACCACCCUGGCAAAACAAUGUCGCGUUUCCCCCUGUAUCUUCUGCUGACGUCUAAGGGACUGGCAAUGAGGAUGGAUGCACAGAGGCCUGGAGCAGUAAUCAAGUACCAUCUACCUUUUUCCCCCCUUUUCUUUUUUCAAAAAUAAAGGCCAGGCCAUGUUUUCUGAGCCGAGGAGGCUGGAUUCCUACUCAGCCUCUGGAAAUGGCGUAUUUCACAUAAAAAUACACCCAUUACACCAUUUUCUUUUCAUGACAAAGUGAGGAUUUCAUGGCUUUCCUUUAUUUUCAUUACAGUGCCGUUUCGAUCGGCCAUACAUGUAGAUUUCUUAUUGCUUGCUAAGCUACAUAUCUCAGUACAUCUAAUGUCAUAAUUAAA